rnacentral:rRNA from 1 species
ACUCCUACGGGAGGCAGCAGUGAGGAAUAUUGGUCAAUGGACGAGAGUCUGAACCAGCCAAGUAGCGUGAAGGAUGACUGCCCUAUGGGUUGUAAACUUCUUUUAUAAGGGAAUAAAGUGAGGGACGUGUCCCUUUUUGUAUGUACCUUAUGAAUAAGGAUCGGCUAACUCCGUGCCAGCAGCCGCGGUAAUACGGAGGAUCCAAGCGUUAUCCGGAUUUAUUGGGUUUAAAGGGAGCGUAGGUUGACAUAUAAGUCAGCUGUGAAAGUUUACGGCUCAACCGUGAAAUUGCAGUUGAUACUGUAUGUCUUGAGUGUACAAGAGGUGGGCGGAAUUCGUGGUGUAGCGGUGAAAUGCUUAGAUAUCACGAAGAACUCCAAUUGCGAAGGCAGCUCACUGGGGUACAACUGACACUGAGGCUCGAAAGUGUGGGUAUCAAACAGGAUUAGAU